GACGAACCGUCCUAACGUUGUUCGGAUUCACUGGGCGUAAAGAGCUCGUAGGCGGUCUGUUACGUCCGCUGUGAAAACCCAGGGCUUAACCCUGGGCUUGCAGUGGAUACGGGUAGACUAGAGGCAGGUAGGGGAGAAUGGAAUUCCCGGUGUAGCGGUGAAAUGCGCAGAUAUCGGGAAGAACACCCGUGGCGAAAGCGGCGAGCUGGAUCACUACUGACGCUGAGGAACGAAAGCUAGGGGAGCAAACAGG
rnacentral:rRNA from 1 species